GGCAGAGUUCCUCUUUUUGUGUGGUUGGAUACUCGAAUGGCCACUAUGUUCACCAGUGGCUAGUUCCUGGAGCCCAAGUUCACUGAUUGCAAAUGGAAGGAUUUAAACCGGAACAUUGAGUCCUGUUCCUCAAAGCCAUCCAGCUGCUAGCCUGGCAUUGAACAUUCCCGCUGAUGAUCUAUUAAAAAAAAUGGAGACUUUACAUUCUUCGUAUUAACCUGGAUGGAAGUGGAAGACAUUAUUCUUAGUAAAGCAUCACAAGAAUGGAGAAGCAUGAAUCCUAUGUACUCAAUUUUGAUAUGAGGACAAUUAAUGACAAUUAAGGUCAUGGGGGGGAAGGA